UCCUGCCAGUAAUGAUAUGCUUGACUCAAAGAUUAAGCCAUGCAUGUGCAAGUACAAGCCUGAAUACACAUGGCAAGACCGCGAAUGGCUCAUUAAAUCAGUCGUAGUUCCUUAGACGGAAAAGAAUGCUACUUGGAUAACUGUGGCAAUUCUAGAGCUAAUACAUGCGAUGAUAAGCUCCGACCUUAGCUGGCAACGGCGGGAAAGAGCGCAAUUAUUAGAUCAAGACCAACCUACAAAUGCCUCCGGGCGUAGAAAUUGUCUUGGUGACUCUGGAUAAUCUCAGGCUGACCGCACGACCUUUGUGUCGGCGGCGCAUCUUUCAAGUGUCUGCCUUAUCAACUUUCGAUGGUAUGUGAUAUGCUUACCAUGGUGGUAACGGGUAACGGGGAAUCAGGGUUCGAUUCCGGAGAGGGAGCAUGAGAAACGGCUACCACCUCCAAGGAAGGCAGCAGGCGCGCAAAUUACCCACUCCUGGCACAGGGAGGUAGUGACGAAAAAUAACGAACCCACAAGGCUCGAAAGAGAAAAUGGGAUCGGAAUGAGUACAAUGUAAAAACGUGUGCAAGGAACAAUUGGAGGGCAAGUCUGGUGCCAGCAGCCGCGGUAAUUCCAGCUCCAAUAGCGUAUAUUAAAGCUGUUGCAGUUAAAAAGCUCGUAACUGAAUCUGGGGAAAGGGCUAAGCGGUCUUGUACUUAACUGUGCGAGUUUAACAUACCGCCCAAGCCCGAUCCCAACUGUCGGUAUUCCCGGGAUGCACUUGACUGUUGUGUUCUGGGUGGCCGGCUCAUUUACUUUGAAAAAAUUAGAGUGCUCAAAGCGGGCUCAAACGCCUAAAUAGUACAGCAUGGAAUAAUAAAAUAGGACUUCGGUUCUGUUCUGUUGGUCUGUCGGAACGCGAGGUAAUGAUUAAGAGGGACAGACGGGGGCAUUCGUACUGCGGGGCGAGAGGUGAAAUUCUUGGACCCUCGCAAGACGAACAAAAGCGAAAGCAUUUGCCAAGGAUGUUUUCAUUAGUCAAGAACGAAAGUCAGAGGUUCGAAGACGAUCAGAUACCGUCCUAGUUCUGACCAUAAACGAUGCCAACUAGCGAUUUGCGAGCGUUAGAAUCUUGACCUCGCGGGCAGCUCUUCCGGGAAACCAAAGUUUUUGGGUUCCGGGGGAAGUAUGGUUGCAAAGCUGAAACUUAAAGGAAUUGACAGAAGGGCACCACCAGGAGUGGAGCCUGCGGCUUAAUUUCGACUCAACACGGGAAAACUUACCCGGCCCGGACACUGUAAGGAUUGACAGAUUGAGAGCUCUUUCUUGAAUCGGUGAAUGGUAGUGCAUGGCCGUUCUUAGUUGGUGGAGCGAUUUGUCUGGUUUAUUCCGAUAACGAACGAGACUCUAGCCUGCUAAAUAGUUCCCCGAUGCGAAAUGGUCGGGGACGAAACUUCUUAGAGGGACAAGUGGCAUUAAAAAAGCCACACGAGAUUGAGCUAUAACAGGUCUGUGAUGCCCUUAGAUGUCCGGGGCUGCACGCGCCGCUACACUGGAGGAAUCAGCGGGUUACUUGUUCUUGCUCGAAAGGGCUGGGCAAUCCCCUGAAUUUCUUUCGUAGUUGGGAUCGUGGAUUGCAAUUAUUCCACUUGAACCAGGAAUUCCGAGUAAGCGCAGGUUACUAGCCUGCGUUGAUUACGUCCCUGCCCUUUGUACACACCGCCCGUCGCUACUACCGAUUGAGCAGUUCAGUGAGAUAAUUGGACCAACCCAGGUGGUUGCUGGCAACGGCAAACCUGCUUACGGUGUGGGGAAAAUUGUCGAACUGUAUUGCUUAGAGGAAGUAAAAGUCGUAACAAGGUUUCCGUAGGUGAACCUGCAGAAGGA
rnacentral:rRNA from 1 species